rnacentral:ncRNA from 1 species
CUUGUGGACUGUUAUAGCGAAUGGGAGUAGUUUUUAUUCUUCAAAGAAUGAAGACAAAACCAGACAGGGUGAAGCAAGAA